CCAGCCGGGGUCUAUAAUGCAGUCGAGCGGACAGAUGGGAGCUUGCUCCCUGAUGUUAGCGGCGGACGGGUGAGUAACACGUGGGUAACCUGCCUGUAAGACUGGGAUAACUCCGGGAAACCGGGGCUAAUACCGGAUGCUUGUUUGAACCGCAUGGUUCAAACAUAAAAGGUGGCUUCGGCUACCACUUACAGAUGGACCCGCGGCGCAUUAGCUAGUUGGUGAGGUAAUGGCUCACCAAGGCGACGAUGCGUAGCCGACCUGAGAGGGUGAUCGGCCACACUGGGACUGAGACACGGCCCAGACUCCUACGGGAGGCAGCAGUAGGGAAUCUUCCGCAAUGGACGAAAGUCUGACGGAGCAACGCCGCGUGAGUGAUGAAGGUUUUCGGAUCGUAAAGCUCUGUUGUUAGGGAAGAACAAGUACCGUUCGAAUAGGGCGGUACCUUGACGGUACCUAACCAGAAAGCCACGGCUAACUACGUGCCAGCAGCCGCGGUAAUACGUAGGUGGCAAGCGUUGUCCGGAAUUAUUGGGCGUAAAGGGCUCGCAGGCGGUUCCUUAAGUCUGAUGUGAAAGCCCCCGGCUCAACCGGGGAGGGUCAUUGGAAACUGGGGAACUUGAGUGCAGAAGAGGAGAGUGGAAUUCCACGUGUAGCGGUGAAAUGCGUAGAGAUGUGGAGGAACACCAGUGGCGAAGGCGACUCUCUGGUCUGUAACUGACGCUGAGGAGCGAAAGCGUGGGGAGCGAACAGGAUUAGAUACCCUGGUAGUCCACGCCGUAAACGAUGAGUGCUAAGUGUUAGGGGUUUCCCGCCCCUUAGUGCUGCAGCUAACGCAUUAAGCACUCCGCCUGGGGAGUACGGUCGCAAGACUGAAACUCAAAGGAAUUGACGGGGCCCGCACAAGCCGGUGGAGCAUGUGGUUUAAUUCGAAGCAACGCGAAGAACCUUACCAGUCUUGACAUCCUCUGACAAUCCUAGAGAUAGGACGUCCCCUUCGGGGCAGAGUGACAGGUGGGUGCAUGUGUCGUCAGCUCUGUCGUGAGAAUGUGGGUAGUCCCGCCACGAGCGCAACCUGAUCCUAGAUGGCAGCAUUCAGUUGGCACCUCUAAGGUACUGCGGUGAACAAGUCGAGAGCGCGUGGGAUGAACGCU
rnacentral:rRNA from 1 species